GAAGCCUUCGGUGAUGUAGAUUUACUAGGGUGCGUAGAAAGUUCCAGGAUCCUUUCCAAACUGUAAUUUUCUGUUUUGUUGUAAGCUUAGGGUUCCAGUUUUUUUUUUUUUGUAAAAGUCAAUAAUUUCUUUUUGUAAUUCAGUAGUAGUUGGAUCAGUUGUAAAAUUAAGCAGAUGUUUGAACCCAUUCCUCACUGAAUACUCACCUGAGACCUCCCUGCUCUAUCCCACCAUAUCAUCAUGUUCUUCUGAGGCUAAAGGAAUUCUCAAAAUUCA
rnacentral:lncRNA from 1 species